rnacentral:rRNA from 1 species
AAACGCUGGCGGCGCACAUAAGACAUGCAAGUCGAACGGAAGUCGUUAUACUGAUUUGAUAAGAACGGAGAACUUGUCAAAGGGACUUGAUGAAGAUUAUAACAAUGGCUUUAGUGGCGGACUGGUGAGUAAUACGUAAGCAACCUGGCUAUCAGAGGGGGACAACAGUUAGAAAUGACUGCUAAUACCGCAUAUGCCACAAGUAUCGCAUGAUACAAGUGGGAAAGGAGUAAUCCGCUGAUAGAUGGGCUUACGGCUGAUUAGCUAGUUGGUGGGGUAAAGGCUUACCAAGGCGACGAUCAGUAGCCGGACUGAGAGGUUCAACGGCCACAUUGGGACUGAGAUACGGCCCAGACUCCUACGGGAGGCAGCAGUCGGGAAUUUUGCGCAAUGGAGGAAACUCCUGACGCAGUGACGCCGCGUGCAGGAAGAAGGUUUUCGGAUUGUAAACUGCUUUAGACAGGGAAGAAAAAGGACAGUACCUGUAGAAUAAGCUCCGGCUAACUACGUGCCAGCCGCCGC